AUUGAACGCUGGCGGCGUGCUUUCCACAUGCAAGUCGGACGAGUGGCGAACGGGUGAGUAACGCAUCGGCACAUACCUCGUCAUGGGGGAUAACUGUCCGAAAGGACAGCUAAUACCGCCUAUUAUUCGAGCGGCCGAUUUCUGAUUAGCUGGUUGGCGGGGUAAAGGCCCACCAAGGCGACGAUCAGUCGCGGGUCUGAGAGGAUGAUCCGCCACACGGGGACGGAGAAACGGCCCAGACUCCUACGGGAGGCAGCAGUGGGGAAUUUUGGAAAAGGGGCGAAAGCCUGAGCCAGCCAUGCCGGGGAGCGGAAGAAGGCCGUCGGGUUGUAAAGGACUUUUGUCAGGGAAGCGGUACCUGAAGAAUAAGCACCGGCUAACUACGUGCCAGCAGCCGCGGUAAUUC
rnacentral:rRNA from 1 species